rnacentral:lncRNA from 12 species
UGCCUCUGUUACUCUGAAACUCAGCUGGACUCACCUCUAUUACUUUUUUUGGCCUGAUUUAGGGAAGGAGACCCAUAGAGCUCCCAUGGAAUGAUGCAAAGCACCACUAACAGCAAAAACCAGCCUGGGGAGAGCCAGGAGCAGGAGCACCUCUGCCAGAAGGGUUUUUGGAGGUUUGCUGAGGUGAGGCAGAACGUUUCUUGGCACAGUAGAAGUGAAACUCAAGGGCAGGCUGAUUGUCUGGCACCUUCAGAUGGACUUGAUUUUUCUCUGAAGGUAAAUACUCGGCAUCUCCUGAAUAUCUCAUACUUUUCU